rnacentral:rRNA from 1 species
UACGUAGGCAGCGAGCGUUGUUCGGAGUUACUGGGCGUAAAGGGUGUGUAGGCGGUUUUUUAAGUUUGGUGUGAAAUCUCCCGGCUCAACCGGGAGGGUGCGCCGAAAACUGGGAGACUAGAGUGCGGGAUGGGAGAGUAGAAUUCCUGGUGUAGCGGUGAAAUGCGUAGAUAUCAGGAGGAAUACCGGUGGUAUAGACGGCUCUCUGGACCGCCACUGACGCUGAGACACGAAAGCGUGGGUAGCAAACAGG